GGAGAUCUGAACAGGGUGGGAUCUGUCCUCUCCUGCCAGAACUGUGGUGGCAGCAAAGGAAAAGUCAGGAACCCGCUUUCUUCCAAAUUGGGCAGAUCUAGGAAAAUUCCAAGCCUAUUUGCUCGGAGGUGACCCCGAGGCAGCUGCGUGGCGAUAGGUGGUGAGUGACAGGAAUCUGAGUCUGGGACACAGUAACAGCACUCGGCAGUCCCUUCCCCUCCUCCCAGCUCGGCUUUCCUAGAGUGACCGGGAGGGAUCUGCUCCAGUGAGGCUCUCUGGGUCUUUCCAGCUGAGACCUCUGAGCUGCUGCUGGGUUUGCGGGGCCACGCCGGCCUUGGCCACAUACCUGUCUGGCUUUCCGCUUGGAAAGGACAUGCUUUUGUUUCCCACCAACUGUUUAAGUUUUUUGGGUGCGGCGCAUUUCUGAAAAGAUAAAAAGAAAAAAAAAAAUCACUUCGGCUGAGUGAUAACCUGACUGCAGGAGACACAGGAAACAGCUCAGCAGGCCCUCUCGAGACACCAGCGCCACCGGUGUGACUGGUUUUCUCUCCACUGGACGUUUCUGGGUGCUCUGAAGAAAAAGUAGGCGUCGGGAUGAGCUACUAAAGGGACAGGAGGGCUCCACACGGGCCUCAGCCUCCGCGUGCAAAUUUUCGGCCACUUUUGGCUCCGACUGGCACCGACACCCACGGGGGCGAAUGCAGGCUUGUGCCGGCACAGAAAGGAGUGUCUGUGGCCUGCGGCUGUGAUUCCCAUGGUAGCAAACCGCAUGCCAGCCUUUACGGCCUCUUUAAAAAAAGCUGUUUUUUUUUUUUCUUUUUCUUUUUAUUGCUGGAAGAGCUGACGGGUAUUGUCCGGACUUGGGAAGGGAUGAGGUGAGGGCAAAGAUAUGCAAAGGAAGAUGACUGAUGAUUCCUAGCUGGGCCCUCUUCCCAGCAGUGGAAGAGGA